rnacentral:lncRNA from 1 species
GGCGGUGCCAUUAUGAAGGUCAAUUCUCCAGUUGGGAAUUUGUGAAGAAGAAGAAGAAGAAGAAGAAUGGUGAAUGGAAAUGUAGCCGUUGUCUUCAAGGUUGUCAUCUUUGGGCAGAGAGACCUCCAUGGGAAAAAAUGGCCCAGAGGACCUUUGAGAUAGAGUCAGAGGAGAAGAAAGGAGGUGAGCCCUGUCCUUGGCAAUGAAAACGGAGGUUACAAGCACCGCCCCCC